UACGAAGGGGGCUAGCGUUGCUCGGAAUCACUGGGCGUAAAGCGCACGUAGGCGGCUUUUUAAGUCAGAGGUGAAAUCCUGGAGCUCAACUCCAGAACUGCCUUUGAUACUGGAGAGCUUGAGUCCGGGAGAGGUGAGUGGAACUGCGAGUGUAGAGGUGAAGUUCGUAGAUAUUCGCAAGAACACCGGUGGCGAAGGCGGUUCUCUGGGCCUUACCUGACGCUGAGGAGCGAAAGCGUGGGGAGCGAACAGG
rnacentral:rRNA from 1 species